AGAGUUUGAUCAUGGCUCAGAUUGAACGCUGGCGGAAUGCUUACACAUGCAAGUCGAACGGCAGCACGGGGCAACCUGGUGGCGAGUGGCGAACGGGUGAGUGAUACAUCGGAACGUGCCCAAUCGUGGGGGAUAACGUAGCGAAAGUUACGCUAAUACCGCAUACGAUCUACGGAUGAAAGCGGGGGAUCGCAAGACCUCGCGCGAAUGGAGCGGCCGAUGUCAGAUUAGGUAGUUGGUGGGGUAAAGGCUCACCAAGCCGACGAUCUGUAGCUGGUCUGAGAGGACGACCAGCCACACUGGGACUGAGACACGGCCCAGACUCCUACGGGAGGCAGCAGUGGGGAAUUUUGGACAAUGGGCGCAAGCCUGAUCCAGCCAUUCCGCGUGCAGGAUGAAGGCCUUCGGGUUGUAAACUGCUUUUGUACGGAACGAAACGGUUCUCUCUAAUACAGGGGGCUAAUGACGGUACCGUAAGAAUAAGCACCGGCUAACUACGUG
rnacentral:rRNA from 1 species